rnacentral:tRNA from 1 species
GUGAGUAUAGCUCAGUGGUAGAGUGUGUGCUUAGAAUGCAUGAGGUCCUGGAUUCAAACCCCAGCACCUCCA